rnacentral:lncRNA from 1 species
AUAUAAUAAUAAGUAAAGUUGUAUGUUAUCUUUGUUAUUUUUUUUUUUUUUUUUGCCAUUUUGUUUUACACCCCUUUCCAAUGAAAUUACUAAAGAGCAGGAUCAGUUCCAACCAUGGGCUAUAUUCGCAUCCAUGGAGGGAGACCAGAUGGUGAAGAAUAAGGAUUGCCAGGCCAAAAAUUUUCUCCCUAGAUGCCAACUGGGACAUGGCCCUAGCCUAUAUUUUAUUGAUACAAUAUGGCCCUUUUUCCCAAAAAUUUGCCCACCCUUGCUAUAACCUCAUAAUUUCCAGAAAAUUCAUAAACUUAUGAAUCUGUGUGUCUUCUAACUCUUUGAUUUGAAA